rnacentral:rRNA from 1 species
CCGGCGCACGGGUGAGUAACGCGUAUGCAACCUGCCGUUUCAGCGGGAUAACCCGGAGAAAUCCGGCCUAAUACCGCAUGUGGCCGAGGGGAGGCAUCUUCUUUCGGCCAAAGGAGGCGACUCCGGAGACGGAUGGGCAUGCGUGACAUUAGCUAGUUGGCGGGGUAACGGCCCACCAAGGCGACGAUGUCUAGGGGUUCUGAGAGGAAGGUCCCCCACACUGGUACUGAGACACGGACCAGACUCCUACGGGAGGCAGCAG